CAGGAUCCUUCUGCUCAUCAGCCUGACCUCCUGUGUCUGUGGAACAUUUGUAUUGAACGUGACAGAGACCUCCUACCAGGCAGAGGAGAACCACAACAUCACACUGGAAUGGAUGUUUACAACCAAAACUGACAGUUCCUCCACCGUAAUUAUAAUUAUUUGUGAACUGUUAACUGAUGUUAAACCCUUGGUCCUGUAUCAUCUAUAUGAGGGUGUUGAGGUCUCAGAGUUUCAGGAUGGACAGUUUGCAGGACGAGUUCAGUGUGACAAAGACGCCCUCAGAGAAGGACGAAUCAGACUUCAUGUGUCCAGACUCAGGACUGAUGACUCGGGUCUGUACGUGUGUAAAGUGAGAACAGAUUAUGGUCGGAACAUAGGAAAAGGCUGACUCAAUGUCACUGCAGCGAGGGAUUGGCCUGAACCUGAGACACCAAACACAGCGAGUCGGGAAAGGAUCGGCCUCUACUGUGUACUGGGACUGACAGCAGCAGCUAUAUCUGUACUGGCUGUUUAGUCAUUCACUCUCUGCCUGUUAAACAAGAUUUAUACUCGGUCCAGUGGUGGAUUUCAGAAAACUUACAGUUUAGCAGAUGGAUCAGAGGAAACAGUUUGAUUCAAUUUUAUACCAAAGACACAGAACACACAAGUUUCCCAUUGGCUGGCAGGUAACCAUAGCAACAACCUUGAUGCUUCACGCACAUAAAUUACAAACUGUAAAAACUAAUAAUGGUUAAAACACAUCCUGCCUUUAUUUUCUCCAGUAAGUGGCCAUGGUAUCAGAGCCAUAAUGAACCACUGAUAUACAACAAUAACAGACUUGAUGGAGGAAACAACGUUCUUGAUCUUUACCUUGUUUAUCAUUUUGAUAUCAGGACUCCUCGUUAAACUUUGUUAGAUCUGAAAUGUGCACUUUUUUCACUUUAUUGAAAUAAUGCUGAGAGGCACAUCUACCUCAUAAAUCACCUCAUCUGUAUGAUUUAUUUUCAAAUGAAAUAUAACAUUAACAUUUAUAUCCUGUCUAUCGUGUGCUUGAAGGUUGUAAUGAAGUAUUCAGGUUAAGACCCUUCAGAGCUGCUUGUUCUCAUGUGUUAUGAACACUGGUGUUAAACUAGUGCCACACAGGAAGUGAUGCGUUUGUUUAUAAUGACCACAACAAUCUUUUCAUCAUGUUUGUUGAUCGUCUAACAUCAUGAAAACUGUAAAACUCUGAGUUCUGACCUUCUUUCCAGAAUUUAUAUCUUUAACUUCUCAACAUUGAUCUUUGUUGUUUUAUUGUAAUGUGUAAUUGAAACUGAGAUUUACUGUUGCUGUUUUUAAUCCUGUCUGUUACAGUGAGCUCUUAUUUACUGUCUGUUAUUGAUUAUCAGUCUUUCACAUGUAUGUUUGAGAGAAAACCUUUGAACUGGAAACACUGGUAUUAAGGAUAAAGACCAGCAGAGGGAGCUCUUCACUGGAAGUCAGCUCAUCUUGUUUAGAAAUCCUCACCUGGCUGCAGGUUACAGCUGUGUGCUCAUUUACACCUUUAGGCUCAUUGAAACAUAACAGAUGUGUCACAGAGAUCUGCUACUGUUAUGUGUUUUAUCUGUGAUAUUUGCUUAGAAUAACAGAAACCAGCAAUUUCUCUUAAUCUCUAAUAUCUCAAACUACAACACUGGUGAAAGUGCUUUGUGGAUGGACUGAAAAUGACUUCAAAUGUGUUCCAAGCUGUAAAUGAAUAGUGUCAGGCAAAGCAGUUUACUCCUUGUACCACAGAUUAAAUACCUUUGAAUCACAGUGUAGAAGUUAAUAGUCCAAAUUCACCCAUCCAUGAAUCUCACAAUAUCUUCUGUUUUUUUAUUUGUAAACAAAUUAUAUCAGACUUUGUGCACACUAAGUUUCAUCCAUAAAACAUCACUGGUGGUGAAUUGUGAAAUGUAACCAUUAUAGAUUAUUUUAGUGUUUACAGUGGAAAAAUAAGUUUCUUGUUCAUGAAUCUGCUUGGAUACUGACCUGCACAGACACAUUGAAAAAAGGAGGAUCCAAAACAUAAAAAACAAACAAGAAAUGAAUGUCUUUAUGUUAGAUUACUAUAUAAAGAAAUUGUAGACACACAUCCUUUUAUCAGAAAUGCAAGUUUUAUAUGUGUACAAUUAUUGACAGUAUAUAAUAAAGUCAUUGCAGACAGGAGGUGUUAAUUUUGUUUUUAACACAAUACUGCCACCUACUGGACUUUUUUGAAAGGUAUUUUUUUAAAUAGAUGAAUUAGAAAUACUGUAUGUUUGUCAACUAUCUGU